rnacentral:rRNA from 1 species
GAUGAACGCUGGCGGCGUGCCUAAUACAUGCAAGUCGAGCGAACAGACGAGGAGCUUGCUCCUCUGACGUUAGCGGCGGACGGGUGAGUAACACGUGGAUAACCUACCUAUAAGACUGGGAUAACUUCGGGAAACCGGAGCUAAUACCGGAUAAUAUAUUGAACCGCAUGGUUCAAUAGUGAAAGACGGUUUUGCUGUCACUUAUAGAUGGAUCCGCGCCGCAUUAGCUAGUUGGUAAGGUAACGGCUUACCAAGGCGACGAUGCGUAGCCGACCUGAGAGGGUGAACGGCCACACUGGAGCUGAGACACGGUCCAGACUCCUACGGGCGGCAGCAGUAGGGAAUGUUCCGAGAUGGGCGAAAGCCUGAAGGAGCAACGGAGCGUGAGUGAUGAAGGUCUGCGGAUCGUAAGACUCUGUUAUUAGGGAAGAACAAAUGUGUAAGUAACUAUGCACGUCUUGACGGUAGCUAAUCAGAAAGCAACGGCUAACUACGUG